UUUCAGUGAAAUCACUGGUGGAGUCCAGGACCUCACACUGUCUAUACUCUAGAACUUUUCUGCCUUCCUCCCAGCCAGCAUGGUCUGCCAGCCAAUCCUGCUUUGGGGAUUAACACGACAACAUCAGGAAACAAAGGAUUCCAUCUUGUUGGACAAAGAGCAGUGUGGUUUCUCUCCCAAACCAGAUUUCCAAUCUUGACACAAGAUUUCCACGGCUCUGCUGGGAAUUCCUCCCAGCUAAGUCCUGAGUCAGUUAUUUUCUGGUAGGAAUGCAAACAGCACGCUGGCGAAAUUUUUCUUUCUGUUUUCAGUGAAUUUCGUUCUCUAGCUAGAUUAAGAUCUUUGGUUACAUCACAUCUCCAACUGGCAGAGGACCAGUCCUGAUUUUUCAAAGAGAACAUUGUCCUGGAGAAGAGUUUCAAGAAUGGAUAUCGUUUUUCCUAGAGCAGCUGUUGGAAGGCUGGAAGGUUGGACACAAAGGAGGGUUUUCCAGCAGAUCCUGGUUGCUGAGUGGCUGUGAUGAUGUCCCGCCCUGGGGGAUGUUAAGUCAGGUGGCGCUCACCAUGCCCACUGAGCUGGCCUUGGGCUGUGAGGUUGUGCAAGACACCGUCAGCCACAGCCCUGAAAGGAGGGUGACAACGAGGACCCAGCCUGCAGAGCCAUGGCAGAGACAAAGUUCCGAGGUGACACGCUGCCCAAGGAUGCUGGGGCAGGUACCUGUCAGCAGGUAAACCUGUGAAUCCCUCAUUUCCUUUUCAGGGUCAUUAGUCUGGCCCUGCCUUAGCCUCUGGGCUCCAGGACCAUAAAGGCGGCCGCUGACCUGGGACCAGGAAGGUGCUCCUUCCCAGUUAACACGAGGUCUUCUUGAAUGCUACCCUUGCAGCGAAAGACAGCGCCACGGCCACCCUGGAUUCUCUCCUCAUGCUCACCUCCCUCAGCCCACACCCCCAGGGCCUUCCUGGAGCCCCCGCCUCACCUCCUACAACCACGCUGAUCUUGUUCUCACCGCACCUGUUCUCGGCGCCCACAACAGGGCACUCUUGAGACCAGAACCUCUGCUGCUCACCUAGAACCACGUCCAAGACCCAGUUGCCUUGCACACCUUUUGUACCUCAGAUUCUUGGAGGAGUGAAGUGUGGCAACCGUCGGUGUGAUAAGGAGGAAAAAUUGAUUUUAGAACAUCAAGAAAUUUAAUUUCUUUGAAAUACAUAAAGUGCACUCUGUGCAUAUGUGGGGGGCUGGGGGAGGGCUAGGCGGGAGAACCUCUGUGUAAGUGAAUACUUUAGUAAAUGGAUAAUUUAUGAGGAUAUCUGGUGUCUAGGGACAAAAUUUGCAUAUAAAGUGGUUUUCUAAAUUGUCCUAAAAUAGCUUCGCGCUUAAAGUAUUUCCCCUGCUUAUGUUGUUGGAUUACUUUCUACUAGCAAAGGUAGGCUCUAGGCCUGUGAGCCAGAGUCAGUUCAAAUUCUGAUCUAGAGGCAUUUCAAAAACAAAUGAAGUUUCUACCACGUUGAAGAAAAACCAGGUUGCAUUUUUCUUUGGAUUUGGUGCCAAACCGGGCAGGAUAACGCCUUUCUCUCCGUCCACCACUUCUUCCUGAUUCUGGGUGCGUUGAGAGCAUUUUGUUUUUCUGUUUAAUCCUCAUCUGUUUCACUUCGUCUUCCCUUGGACUAAUAUGGAAUAUUUCUCAAGGGCCAGAGAUUCGAGGGAAAAACUCCAAACCCUUUAAUCGCCUCCAUGUACCUUGUGGCCUCACCCACCACGGUCUGUAAGUGUUUGUUUACUGGAUGCGAGGACAGGACAAACUUUCUGCUAGCAUUUUUGACAAGUUUCCAGCUGGUCUCUAAUUUAGAAACUAGGCAUUUCUGUCCACCCUGUUCCCGAUAUUUGUGAUAUAUUCCCUACUCCGUAAAGAAUGAGGACGGCAAAACUUUCGAGUCUCAAAACCCCUCCCAGGCAAAGAAGUAGGUUGACCUUUUUAAAAGCUAAACACUAGAAAAAGCAAAACACAAACAAAAACGGUCCAAAAUAAACCCCCCCACACACACCCCCUGAAAUUUUUUUCAAUGCAGAUUGUAAGUGUUCCUUAAAAAGGCCAUUUUCAGGGGAAAAACACAGCAAGGUCUAUCUGCAAAGAACUUAUGCCAAAUAGAUGCCGGGGCAGGGCUGGUGAAAACAUGUUGCCUCGGGUGGCAGGUGCUGGCUGCAAGGUGAGGCUUCCUGCCCGCAGCAGAAUCCCACCUGGAGCAAAAGCGGACCACCUCCUUUCCUGCACUGCCCAACACGUGGGCAUCUCAUUCCCCUGCUUAAAGUCUCAGUCUCCUAAGUGUACAGACUCAAUCUUUGUUUCCUGGGCUCUGACCCGGGCCUGCCCUUCCCUGCCUCCUGCCCCAGAGUCCCAGCCUCUGCUUCUCCCUGCCGUCUCUCUGCAUAAAUGCUAGUUCUUCCUUUGGAAACAGGACCCCAAGGCUCUUCAGUUGGCUUCCUAACUACUAGUUCCCUUCUUCCCUUCCCCUUCCUCCCUUUUCCUCCAUAAAAUAUUUUAAGGAAUAGAUUCUCUGUUCCUUGACGAUUUGAUAAAAAUGGCCUUAGAACAGUCUCCGUGUUAUCUAUAGCUCUAUCCAGCCAUCAUUUAAAAGAGUAUUUUUCCCCUUUUUUUCUGUUUUCCUUGGUAAUAAAAGUUCCUCCAGUUUUUUGGGGAUAUUAUCUUUUUGUCUGUCCUGUAUGUUUCAAAGAGUUUUCCUCAUUUGUCCAUCCAGCAUCAAUUGUGGUUAUGGUGCUUUUUCACAUAGAAGAAUUUUUGAAUUUAUGUCUUGGUUUAUAUGUGUUCAUUUUUAAGUGUUUAUAUAUUCUCUAGUACUACUUGUUUAUAUAUUUGUCUUGUAAUAUUUUUUCUUUUACUUAAAGACUACAAAUGUAUUUUUUCUUUUUUCAAUUUCUAAUAGAAUUUUAAAGGUUAGACUCCAUUUACCUUUAUUACAAAAUGUUGGCUAUAUUCCCUGUGUUGUACAAUAUGUACUUGCAUUAUCUAAACAUCUAGUAUAGCAAAGAUUUUAAUUUUUUUUAACUUGUUUUGGAAACCUGGGAUCUCCAAUAGGUUUUCCCAAGUGUGUUGCCAGUGUUCCAACAGUAAUUAUGAACUUUUUCUCCAGGAAUUUAAAAAACCAGUUUAUUCUUUUCUAAAUUCUAGUUAUGCUUGACUCUGUAUCUAUCUGAAUUCAUAGAUCUGUCCCACUACCCUAAUAUUUUGCUAGCAGGGGUUUAACUACCCUUUCCUCUGUCUCACAUGCCACCCUCUUCUGUGGGACCUAUUAUGGGCCACUAUUUAUUCUUCUGCCAAUUUCAUGUCACUAGUCUUGAGGACACCAACUGUUACCCUUAUUAGCUGCUCAAUCAGUAUUUUUGGAAUAAGGAAAUAAAGGAAGUAUUUGAGGCUUGCAGUGUUGUGGGGUUUUUUUUUCAUUUUUAAAGUUUUAUUGAAGAAUAGAUGAUUUACAAGGUUGUGGUCAGUUCUGCUGUACAACCCAGGGAUUCAGUUAUGCAUGGACACACAUCUGUUCUGUUUCAGAUUCUUUUCGUACAUAGAUGAUCACAGAAUAUUGGGUAGCGGUCUCUGUGCUCGACAGCAAGUCCCCAUUGGCCAGUCAUUCCAUAGACCUCAGUGUGCAUAUGCCAAUCCCAAAAACCCAGUGCAUCCCUACCCCCCACCACCUGUCCUCUUUGG